CAAAGAGAAACUUACCUUGACUAGUUUCGAUAGCCUUAAUUUUCGAGGACGAAAAUUUUUGUUGUUGGGGAGAAUGUAAGACCCGUAAAUUUUGGGAAUGGUGGGGACAUGGUGGGCACCAUAUUUUCAUUUAUUGGGCUGCACACAUCAAAGUGGAGGGUCCUCCUUUUGUUGGCUAUGAUUGAAGGAAGUGUUGAAAGAAGUUGAUGGAAGGAGCACAUCAUACAACUCUCGGCAUCCAGCAGAUGGAGAAAUCACAUUUCAAUUAUUUCUCUUAAGUGGAGACAACAUAAUGAAGAGAAGGGACCACCACCCCACUUGGAGAAGCACCUCACGGUUUUUCUCUCUAGCUGCACCGAAGUGUCUUCUCUUCCUUUCUAUUGAUGAGCUUCAAGUAAAGACACCAAGGCAACCAUGAGAGACCAACAAGCAUACGUAGCUGCCACAAAAGAAGUCCAGCCAUUACAACCAUGGAAGAAAAAGGGGAGAGAGUUGCUGGAAAAAUCUGGAAGAGUUGCUGCAAGAUCUGGGAGAGGUGAAACUGAGAGCGUCCGGAGCUGCAGCUACAAACCUUGGGAAGAUUGAUUCAAGAGGGGUGUUGGAUGCUGCAUCCAGAGAAGUGGAGAGCUCGUGGAUUUGGAAGGUGAUCCGCACACUGUAUUUCAAGAAUUUCAAGGAGGUCUUCAAGAGAUGUUGUCGAGGAGAGUCCUUUAGAGCAGGAGCUGGAGGAUACUAAGGUUGCGGAGUAGUCUUCUUAGGAGUUUCCCAUAUGGACACGUGUAGUGUUCGACUCUUUAAGCUAUUUAAGUUCGAAUUUCCGUUUUCUUUUAUUUCUGGAUGACUGUAAUUUUACAUUUAAUUACACGUCAUGAUCCGACUGUUCUCUUUAUUAGAAUGUUGACGUCUUGAUUAUGUAAUAUUGGUUAUUAUAUAAUCAGGAUGUUACACUACAUGCCAUGUAAUUAAUAUGCC
rnacentral:sRNA from 1 species